rfam:Triticum aestivum genome assembly, contig: Triticum_aestivum_CS42_TGACv1_scaffold_405433_5BL
GUAGUACUCCCUCCGUCCCAAAAUUCUUGUCUUACAUUUGUUUAGAUACCGAUGUAUCUAACACUAAAAUGUAACUAGAUACAUCCGUAUUUAGACAAAUUUAAGACAAGAAUUUUGGGAUGGAGGGAGUACAAA